UAUCUUUGUCCCCGAAUUGGUUUGCAAUUGUUCAACUAUGAUUGCGAUUAAAAGGGAAUCAGGUGUAAAUCCUGGACAGUCCCGCUGCUGUGAAACUCUGUUUUAAGAAUCUUGAAAACACUUUUGCCACUGGCUUUUUGUCGGGAAGGCAUUCAAGAUGAGAGUGAGUCAGAAGACUUGCCAUUCGUUAAAAGUUUAU
rnacentral:ncRNA from 1 species